rnacentral:rRNA from 1 species
GGACUACUGGGGUAUCUAAUCCUGUUUGCUCCCCACGCUUUCGCGCCUCAGCGUCAGUUGCGAGCCAGAAAGCCGCCUUCGCCACGGGUGUUCUUCCUAAUAUCUACGAAUUUCACCUCUACACUAGGAAUUCCACUUUCCUCUCUCGCACUCAAGUCUUCCAGUCUAAAGCGCACCUCCUGGGUUAAGCCCAGGGCUUUCACGCCUUACUUAAAAAACCGCCUACGCGCCCUUUACGCCCAGUCAUUCCGAACAACGCUAGCCCCCUCCGUCUUACCGCGGCGGCUGGCAC